rnacentral:lncRNA from 1 species
CCUUCUGUCUCCGCUCUCCUGGUGAACCCCUAUGACUGAGUACCCUCUUUGGGGGUGCAGGAAGAGGACGCUGAAGUGGGGGUGCAGAAAAGGGGUCCUCUAGGCAGAGCGAGCUGUGGUUGGGGUUUGGGAAGUCUAUUUGCAAACCUCAUUCUGCAGGGCAGAUGCUGCCACAUAGGGGUAAUUCCUAACCAUCUUUUUUUUUUUUUUUUUUUUUUAUUGCUUGAUUUUCUUAAUGGUAUUAUCAAAAGCCCACUCUUCUUUCAUAGUCACAUUUUGGCCUCAUUUGCAAUUUCUCCGGGACCUCCAUCUUCUUUUCCGUCCCCCACCACCACACCAUUCUCUGAAGAGAAAAGCUGGGCUUUGUUUCUACUCGUGGGCAAGAAGAGAAUGCGUCCUCUCCCCUCUAUGCGACCAUUUCAGGACCUGACCUUCCCUAUGAAGAUCCCCCAGGGAUUGCAGAGGAGUCCGAGGAAACC